rnacentral:rRNA from 1 species
GACGAACGCUGGCGGCGUGCUUAACACAUGCAAGUCGAACGGAAAGGCCCUGCUUUUGUGGGGUGCUCGAGUGGCGAACGGGUGAGUAACACGUGAGUAACCUGCCCUUGACUUUGUGAUAACUUCAGGAAACUGGGGCUAAUACCGGAUAGGAUCUCCUGCUGCAUGGUGGGGGUUGGAAAGUUUCGGCGGUUGGGGAUGGACUCGCGGCUUAUCAGCUUGUUGGUGGGGUAGUGGCUUACCAAGGCUUUGACGGGUAGCCGGCCUGAGAGGGUGACCGGCCACAUUGGGACUGAGAUACGGACCAGACUCCUACGGGAGGCAGCAGUGGGGAAUAUUGCACAAUGGGCGGAAGCCUGAUGCAGAAACGCCGGGUGCGGGAUGACGGCCUUCGGGUUGUAAACCGCUUUCGCCUGUGACGAAGCGUGAGUGACGGUAAUGGGUAAAGAAGCACCGGCUAACUACGUG